CCUACGGGUGGCUGCAGUGGGGAAUAUUGCACAAUGGGCGCAAGCCUGAUGCAGCCAUGCCGCGUGUGUGAAGAAGACCUUCGGGUUGUAAAGCACUUUCAGCGGGGAGGAAGGCGUUAAGGUUAAUAACCUUGUCGAUUGACGUUACCCGCAGAAGAAGCACCGGCUAACUCCGUGCCAGCAGCCGCGGUAAUACGGAGGGUGCAAGCGUUAAUCGGAAUUACUGGGCGUAAAGCGCACGCAGGCGGUCUGUCAAGUCCGAUGUGAAAUCCCCGGGCUCAACCUGGGAACUGCAUUCGAAACUGGCAGGCUAGAGUCUUGUAGAGGGGGGUAGAAUUCCAGGUGUAGCGGUGAAAUGCGUAGAGAUCUGAAGGAAUACCGGUGGCGAAGGCGGCCCCCUGGACAAAGACUGACGCUCAGGUGCGAAAGCGUGGGGAGCAAACAGGAUUAGAUACCCCUGUAGUC
rnacentral:rRNA from 1 species